rnacentral:lncRNA from 1 species
UGCAGCUUCAAUCCUUGCAGGACCCCAGAUGUCCUCCCCAAACCCUGGGACCUGAUGAGCCACAGCUAGAACCUUUGCACAGACUCGGGAAAGCCCCUUGAGUUCUUCCUGUGCUUUUAGUCCUGAUGAAUUUUCCCUUCCCAUUUCCAAAUUGCAAAAUUGAAGCUAUUUCCUCAGGUGCCUUAUUUAGCAGCUGUCCAAAGCUGGAACCUGGCAGGAUCGACGAGUGUUUAAAAGCUCAAACUUCACUAAUGUCCCAGAUGAGGGCUGAUCAGCCCCCACGGUCCACCAUCUCUCACCAUCUUCUGAGAAAGAGACUCACCCACCCUCAGAGCAGCAGCUGAGAGCGAAGGGUUCAGUGGGAUUUCCAACUCCUGUGAUUUCUCCAUUCAGUUCUUCAGAGGUAAAGAUGGGAGUAAAAGAUGUCAAGAAGGCCUCUGGCUGUGAGCGCCCAAGGAGGGGGGUGGGGGGGCACGCAUCCUUUGCAACUUCACAGUCACAUUUCCACAGAAGGACUCUUUUCCCUCUGAAAGUCCCGUUUCAGUCUUAAGGUUCAAGAUGGUGCCUGGAUCCAGCCUCCUCAGCAUCUGUCAGCUCCCAGGAGUUGGGGGAGGGGUGCUGAAGACAGAGACCUCGGGUCACAACACUUUCUGUUUAAAGCAGAGGCACCUGUCCUGCUAAGUGAAGUCAACUCAGCUGCUCUCUCAAAAAAAAAAAAAAAAAAAAAA